rnacentral:lncRNA from 1 species
UCGAUUUUAUAGACUCCCUUUCCGAUCAUUUAUUUGUUCACCCCCUUUCUCUCUUUCGCAAUUCUACUCUCUUUCUCUCUCGCACAAAUCACUCAUUGUUCCCCUCUAUUCCAUCUCUUCCCUGCAUUUCUAUGUAUAUGUGUGUGAGUGUUAUGUGUAGUUUUUCAUGAAUGUGGAUUUUUUCGAUGAGCUAUGUGUUUUUUCGGUGAGGUGUGAGUUUUGUGGUGAGGUCUGCGCAUCUAUAUGUGUGAUGGUGUCUAUAUGUAAGGUGUGUCUAUAUCCUCUAUGAGACUCCCUUUUGUUGUGUGGGUAUUGUGUGUAUAUAUAUCUAUUGUGAGAGAGGAUUCUCUAUAUGAGAG